rnacentral:rRNA from 1 species
AACGAACGCUGGCGGCAGGCUUAACACAUGCAAGUCGAACGCCCCGCAAGGGGAGUGGCAGACGGGUGAGUAACGCGUGGGAACGUGCCCUUCGCUUCGGAAUAGCCCCGGGAAACUGGGAGUAAUACCGGAUACGCCGUAUUGGGAAAGGUUUAGCGGCGAAGGAUCGGCCCGCGUUGGAUUAGCUAGUUGGAGGUGUAAUGGACCCCCAAGGCUACGAUCCAUAGCUGGUCUGAGAGGAUGAUCAGCCGCACUGGGACUGAGACACGGCCCAGACUCCAACGGGAGGCAGCAGUGGGGAAUCUUGGACAAUGGGCGCAAGCCUGAUCCAGCCAUGCCGCGUGAGUGAAGAAGGCCUUAGGGUUGUAAAACUCUUUCGCCGGAGAAGAUAAUGACGGUAUCCGGAGAAGAAGCCCCGGCUAACUUCGUGCCAGCCGCCGCCGUAAGAC